rnacentral:rRNA from 1 species
AACACGAAAGUGGACGUAUAGGGUGUGACGCCUGCCCGGUGCUGGAAGGUUAAUUGAAGAUGUGAGAGCAUCGGAUCGAAGCCCCAGUAAACGGCGGCCGUAACUAUAACGGUCCUAAGGUAGCGAAAUUCCUUGUCGGGUAAGUUCCGACCCGCACGAAUGGCGUAACGAUGGCCACACUGUCUCCUCCCGAGACUCAGCGAAGUUGAAGUGGUUGUGAAGAUGCAAUCUACCCGCUGCUAGACGGAAAGACCCCGUGAACCUUUACUGUAGCUUUGCAUUGGACUUUGAAGUCACUUGUGUAGGAUAGGUGGGAGGCUUAGAAGCAGAGACGCUAGUUUCUGUGGAGCCGUCCUUGAAAUACCACCCUGGUGUCUUUGAGGUUCUAACCCAGACCCGUAAUCCGGGUCGGGGACCGUGCAUGGUAGGCAGUUUGACUGGGGCGGUCUCCUCCCAAAGAGUAACGGAGGAGUUCGAAGGUUACCUAGGUCCGGUCGGAAAUCGGACUGAUAGUGCAAUGGCAAAAGGUAGCUUAACUGCGAGACCGACAAGUCGAGCAGGUGCGAAAGCAGGACAUAGUGAUCCGGUGGUUCUGUAUGGAAGGGCCAUCGCUCAACGGAUAAAAGGUACUCCGGGGAUAACAGGCUGAUUCCGCCCAAGAGUUCAUAUCGACGGCGGAGUUUGGCACCUCGAUGUCGGCUCAUCACAUCCUGGGGCUGUAGUCGGUCCCAAGGGUAUGGCUGUUCGCCAUUUAAAGUGGUACGUGAGCUGGGUUUAAAACGUCGUGAGACAGUUUGGUCCCUAUCUGCAGUGGGCGUUGGAAGUUUGACGGGGGCUGCUCCUAGUACGAGAGGACCGGAGUGGACGAACCUCUGGUGUACCGGUUGUAACGCCAGUUGCAUAGCCGGGUAGCUAAGUUCGGAAGAGAUAAGCGCUGAAAGCAUCUAAGCGCGAAACUCGCCUGAAGAUGAGACUUCCCUUGCGGUUUAACCGCACUAAAGAGUCGUUCGAGACCAGGACGUUGAUAGGUGGGGUGUGGAAGCGCGGUAACGCGUGAAGCUAACCCAUACUAAUUGCUCGUGAGGCUUGACUCU